rnacentral:misc_RNA from 1 species
CCCACCACUUUCGAUCUACACUUACCGUACGCCGCCCAGCGUGCUCAUUCCGAAACAGGCAACGGUCGUGAUCGCACCGAUAUCACAAAAUACGUAGCUACUUGUCACGUUGUUGGAAAAGCAGAACACCGAUAUAAACCACCGUGUGAUAUAUGCGCAUACACGCAAAUCGAGACACACCAACACAGAAUAUAUUGAAAUAAUUGUAAAACUAAAACAAACCAAAACAAAAACGAACGCAAAAUCUUGUCUGGAUCGAAGAUAAAAAUAAUACGGCGGCGAUCCAAAAUAAACUGGAAUUGAAGAAAAUCUUUCGUAAGGUUGCGAAAUAGGUGUUGUGGAAAUAAUUGCAACCUUUUACUAACCAGUGAUCUGCUUUCAGUGAUAUACAAUAAAAUAAAAAAGUGUUUGAAUCGACAUCAUUUUUGACGAAAAAUCGAGAAAACGAUUUUUUUCAAAACGGAUAAAAUAAUCAACGUUCCGAUACGUAGCUCGGAGGAACUUUCUCGAAGUAUACAACAACGGAAAAGAGUGCAUAAAGACGAGACGAGAUGGCGUUUAUGAUGCCCGUUGUUAAAAACGAGUGGGAUAUUUACAAGACAAACAGGAGCAGACGAUCGUCCGAGUGUUCGAAUCCUCAGGCUUGUCGGAGUCGAAAGGUGUCGGAAUGUUCAAAAUCGGAGGGUCCCUCGUUGUCGACGUCACCGGGUUCGGACUUUUUGACGUCGCCGGCCCAUCGAUCGGUGCCACUAUCGUCUCGUCAUUUCUCGAGAACAUCCUCGAGGGCUUCGCAGAGCUCGUUGCAGAGUCCGAGCAAAAGUACCGCCUCCUCACCACCCAAGACCGGAAGUUCAAAUUCAUUGAACAAAUUUCACAACCGAUUGGUCGACAAAUUGAAACGAUCGCUGAAAAAAGCUGACGAUUGCGGGGAGGAGCAGAGAAAUUUGUCGUGAAAGAGUCAUUUGGUUUUGGGCCGUCCACCAUUGUGCGGCUCAAAGCCGAUCGAGAUCCGACGCACAUCGGCACCCGGUAAUUCGGAUGACUCCAACGAAGCAGGGGGUACAAGUUCCGAGGCCGCACGCUCGUGCCCGGAUCACUCCGUCGCGUGGUAAGGCACUCGCAACAGCGCCCAUUAUCCACCGAAACAACUCCGAAACGAAAAGCAUCCAAAAAGAGAGCGAUAAAUCGCUUUGAUAACGGAGAAUUUUUCAACGGACCGGAAACUAUCGGAGCUCGAGCGAUCCUUCGUCGCUAUGCGCGCGGCGAGAGGCCAGCCUCGAAUAAAAAUAUUCCAAAAGGAUCAUUGAAACCGCGAACCACGGGGGUGGUGGCUCCAUCGUUGGAAAGAGAGCAAUCACGAGAUCUACGAACAACAACUAUGAAGAUCGCUCGCGCGGAAAACCUUCGAAAAGAAACCUUCGAAUUAUAUAUAAAAAGAAACAAAAAAAGACGGAGGAUUCGACAAAGGCCAGAAAAUCGAUACGGGGCAUCCUUCUCUCGACGUCUUCAAAGUUCCAUGGGACAUGGUUGUCCGUCACGAUCGUGUUCUCUCUGUUUUCGACGAGAUCGGGGAUCGAGCGAGAAAGAACAAUUUUAUUUAUUAAUACAUAUUACGAUUUCGACGAGAUACAUAAUCAUUAUAUUUUUUAUUCCAACAAUUAUUGCUCGAUUACAAGGUUGGAAUAAAUAUCGAUAAUAUUCAUUUUCCGAGGUUCCUCAUGUCCAUUUUCUUACUUUCAAAUAACACCCAAUUUUAAUCUCCGUCGCUCACUAUUAAGAAUCAAAGAAUCAAUGUACUACUACAUCAUCAAAUAAAAAUAACCCCAAGAAUGAUAACUGGAAUGGUCUCUCGUACAUACUGAGAUGUUCCGUUAUAUAGUUGUUUUUAGUAAGCCGCGUUGUGCGAGAGGGCGAAGAAUAAUAAGGCUAAAGACUGAAAAAUUGAGAACGUAUUGAAAAAAAAAAAAAAUAUAUAUAUAUAUAUAUAGAGCAGAUAUAGAAACUAGAUAUUGAAAAAUCUUUUUUUGCAUCGUGCUCGUAGCAAACGAGGUCCCAAGAAAAGACUUGUCUAGGAUAUAUAUCUAAAAAAGGUAAUGCAUUGCUAUUAUUACUAGUGUCAUUCAUCAUAAUUCGUUGAUUUUUUUUUCUUCAUCUCGACGCGGUAGCUCAAAAUCGAGAUGAGCGAUUUGUCAAUCCUUUUUGAGAGCCAAAUUAUUCCAUUUUUUGCUGAAUACAAAGUGCCGAAUGAUUAUUUUGAGAAUUUCAAAAAAACAAUUAUUUUUUUUCGACAUCAUUGAAAGGUGCAAAAAUCGUCGUCCAAAUUGUUUUUGGCACUUUUCGCCACAUUGGGCUAUUUUGCACAGUAGUCAAUUUUGUUAUUCACACGUGUAUAUUUAUGAUCGUUGAAUAUAUAUUGCGCCAGGGCUACGUUACGUAUAUUGAGACUUGUUUAAAAGAGACAAAAAAAAAAACACACACACACACACACAUACACAAAAAAAAAGAAAAAAUAAGGGAAUAAAUAGACGGGGAUAGCUGUCCCCUCGCAUUUUCAUAUUCGAGUCGAUUGGGACAAGCAUGAUUGAAGUAAAAAAAAAAACAAUUAUGAACGAUAUCCGCGUUUAUACUCUGUGAUACCAGUAAGCUAUAAGGUUGAAUUUAUUUUUUUGCAUCGGCGCCUGUGGCAAGGAUCGGAAGAAUUUAAGAGUAAUUUAGUGAUAAAUUACCGAAUUUAUUACGAAAAAUACAGUACGAAAAAUAAAUAAUAAAAGAAUGAGAUAUUUAGGAGGGAGGAAUGCAUCUCUUUUUCAUUUAAUUCAUAUCUAUAUUCGGUGAAUAAAUUCAGAACCCAAUGAAAUUUUGUCACAAUUAUUGGUUAACGUUUUUUUUUCUUUUUUUUUUUCAAUGACAAUUCCAGCAGUAUUGAAAUCGAGUCAAAGUCCUUAGGAUUGCAUUAAUUUAUUUACCUUUCCUGGUAUACAUUGGACGUGUUGAUCGAUUUAGAGAUAAAAAGUUGAAAAAGUUGGUUCCACGGGACAGAGGCGAAAACAAAUACGCGCGCAUCUACUCGAUUUACAACUGCCACAAAUGAAACGCGAAAAAAUAAAAAUGGAAACAAAAAGGACGCGAGCUUUAGCCAAGUACACCGCGUAAGAAAAAUCCUUCGACCAGAAAUUGGCAUCGUUCGAAUAAAUAAUAACGAAAUUUGGUUAUUCCUCAUGAUCAUUUAUGAUUUUUCGGUACAGUCCGGUACAUUAUUCGCGGACCAUUAUUUUUCAUACGAAUCAUUGAUUCGCACAGAAUUGUUCAAUUACCGAUUAUUGCGUUGACGGUAGAAAAGAAAAAGAAACUUUUCCCGCGUUUUCCGAUGCCCAUUUCUGUCUUCGAGAACCCUCUUAUAUUUAUUAGUGGAAUGAAAGUCACUGCCAAAUGUCCGAGUGACGAAUGAAAAAAGGGAGUUGCAGCGCAGUAGCAGCAGUAGGGAGAAGAAAUGAAGGAAAAUUGGGAAUGAUUAAAAGUGGAAAAGCCGAGGUUGUUGGUAAUCGGUAAUCUAUUCUAUAGCCGAGCGGAACAUCCUCGACAACUCUUUGGUACUAUUGUGUUUGGGAGUCGAUGAAAGAAAAUUUUGAAAAAUAUGAAAAUCGCUGUCUCAUAGCUGUAGUUAUUCGAGUUGUAUUCGUAAUCGGAAGAAACGCCCGACGCGACUCCGGACAUCGGCGAAAGACGGAGAAAAGAAAAGGGAUGCAAAUUUAAUUUGAAUUCGAGCACAUUCCAUGCGUAAUAUACUACGGAGAAUAAAAAUAUUUGUACGAUAAGCGAAAAGCGUAAAGAAAGAAAAACGUAAUCCUCUUGGUAAAGAUGAGCAGAAAAACAUUAGGGGGAUUACAAGUCUGCAGCCGGCCGAGGAUUUAUUAUUGAUGAAAAGAAAGGCGAGAGCGAAAACAAAAGUAUGACUCGAUAUAUCGAAAGUUUAAAGAUGCUUAACGGUUUAAACAAUUACUAUGUAUAAUAUUGUGAUUUUUAUGUAAUGUUCAAUAAAUGAGUUUGAAUGAGAA